rnacentral:rRNA from 1 species
UUGACGGGGCCGCACAAGCGGUGGAGCAUGUGGUUAAUUCGACGCAACGCGAGAACCUUACCAGGGCUUGACAUCCCCUGACCGCGUAUGAAAGUACGUUUUCACCUCGGGUGACAGGGAGACAGGUGGUGCAUGGUUGUCGUCAGCUCGUGUCGUGAGAUGUUGGGUUAAGUCCCGCAACGAGCGCAACCCCUACGUUUAGUUGCUAACGCGUGAAGGCGAGCACUCUAGACGAACUGCCGUUGACAAAACGGAGGAAGGUGGGAUGACGUCAAAUCAUCAUGCCCCUUAUGUUCUGGGCUACACACGUGCUACAAUGGCCGGUACAGACGGACGCAAAGCCGCGAGGUGGAGCAAAUCCUAAAAAGCCGGUCUCAGUUCGGAUUGCAGGCUGCAAUUCGCCUGCAUGAAGUCGGAAUCGCUAGUAAUCGCAGGUCAGCAUACUGCGGUGAAUACGUUCCCGGGCCUU